rnacentral:rRNA from 1 species
GUACACGCUGUGACUAGCAUAUCAAUAAGCGGAGGAAAAGAAACUAACAAGGAUUCCCCUAGUAACGGCGAGUGAAGCGGGAAGAGCUCAAAUUUGAAAUCUUAAAGGGUUUCCCUUUACGAAUUGUAGUUUAAAGAAGUGUUUUCUGUUACGAUCGUAAUAUAAGUUCUUUGGAAUAGGACAUCACAGAGGGUGAGAAUCCCGUCUAUGAUUGCGAUUUGUAGCUUUGUGAUACACUUUCAAAGAGUCGGGUUGUUUGGGAAUGCAGCCCAAAACGGGAGGUAAAUUUCUUCUAAGGCUAAAUAUUGGCGAGAGACCGAUAGCGAACAAGUACCGUGAGGGAAAGAUGAAAAGAACUUUGAAAAGAGAGUUAAAUAGUACGUGAAAUUGUCAAAAGGGAAGCGUUUAACACCAGUGUUGUUUUUCUGAAAAUCAAUUAAAGAACUGUUUAUGCUAAGUUGUUUAGACUUUAUCAGCUAACUGUUUAGUUUUGAGCUUUUCUUUAAUGCACUUUUCAGUUAACAAGUCAACAUCAAUUUCUCUUGCUGUAAAAAAGCUUGAGGAAGGUGGCUUGAGAUUCGUCCUUAAGUGUUUAUAGCCUCUUGCCUAUGCAGUCGGAGAGAUUGAGGUCUGCAGCGUAGAUCCUUCGGGGCUAAAUGCAUUUGUGCUAAGUUAUAGCAUUUUAUAGACAACUUGUUGACUAUGAUUUGUCUUGUAGCUUACUCGCUUAUGUUAUUUUACCUACGCUUAGGAUGUUGACACACGCGCGUGCUCGACUCUAUACAUGACUCUGUGCAUAUCAAUAAGCGGAGGAAAAGGGGCAUGGCUUGACCAUCUCGGAGAGUCAUGUCGUACCUACGCUUAGGAUGUUGACGCAUGAGAUAUACGC